rnacentral:rRNA from 1 species
UACGGAGGAUCCAAGCGUUAUCCGGAAUCAUUGGGUUUAAAGGGUCCGUAGGCGGUUUGGUAAGUCAGUGGUGAAAGCCCAUCGCUCAACGGUGGAACGGCCAUUGAUACUGUUAAACUUGAAUUAUUAGGAAGUAACUAGAAUAUGUAGUGUAGCGGUGAAAUGCUUAGAGAUUACAUGGAAUACCAAUUGCGAAGGCAGGUUACUACUAAUGGAUUGACGCUGAUGGACGAAAGCGUGGGUAGCGAACAGG